UACAGAGGUCUCAAGCGUUGUUCGGAUUCAUUGGGCGUAAAGCGCACGUAGGCGGUUCGUUAAGUCGGAUGUGAAAGCCCUCGGCUCAACUGAGGAAGUGCACCCGAAACUGGCGAGCUUGAGUACGAAAGAGGAUCGCGGAAUUCCCGGUGUAGAGGUGAAAUUCGUAGAUAUCGGGAGGAACACCGGUGGCGAAGGCGGCGAUCUGGGUCGAUACUGACGCUGAGGCACGAAAGCGUGGGGAGCAAACAGG
rnacentral:rRNA from 1 species